rnacentral:rRNA from 1 species
CUGUUCCUACGGGGGGCAGCAGUGGGGAAUAUUGGGCAAUGGGCGCAAGCCUGACCCAGCAACGCCGCGUGAAGGAAGAAGGCUUUCGGGUUGUAAACUUCUUUUAUUGAGGACGAAACAAAUGACGGUACUCAAUGAAUAAGCCACGGCUAACUACGUGCCAGCAGCCGCGGUAAUACGUAGGUGGCAAGCGUUAUCCGGAUUUACUGGGUGUAAAGGGCGUGUAGGCGGGACUGCAAGUCAGAUGUGAAAAUUAUGGGCUCAACCCAUAACCUGCAUUUGAAACUGUAGUUCUUGAGUGAUGG